CACGAGCGCACCCUCGUUCUUAGUUGCCAGCAUUAAGUUGGGCACUUUAAGAAGACUGCCGGUGACAAACCGGAGGAAGGUGGGGAUGACGUCAAGUCAUCAUGCCCCUUACGUUCUGGGCUACACACGUACUACAAUGGUUGGGACAAAGGGCAGCCAACUUGCGAUAGUGCGCUAAUCUCAUAAAACCC
rnacentral:rRNA from 1 species